GACGAACGCUGGCGGCGUGCUUAACACAUGCAAGUCGAACGGAAAGGCCCUGCUUUUGUGGGGUGCUCGAGUGGCGAACGGGUGAGUAACACGUGAGUAACCUGCCCUUGACUUUGGGAUAACUUCAGGAAACUGGGGCUAAUACCGGAUAGGAGCUCCUGCUGCAUGGUGGGGGUUGGAAAGUUUCGGCGGUUGGGGAUGGACUCGCGGCUUAUCAGCUUGUUGGUGGGGUAGUGGCUUACCAAGGCUUUGACGGGUAGCCGGCCUGAGAGGGUGACCGGCCACAUUGGGAAUGAGAUGCGGCCCAGACUCCUACGGGAAGCAGCAGUGGGGAAUAUUGCACAAUGGGCGGAAGCCUGAUGCAGCAACGCCGCGUGCGGGAUGACGGCCUUCGGGUUGUAAACCGCUUUCGCAUGUGACGAAGCGUGAGUGACGGUAAUGGGUAAAGAAGCACCGGCUAACUACGUG
rnacentral:rRNA from 1 species